GGAAUUUUCGGCAAUGGGCGCAAGCCUGACCGAGCAACGCCGCGUGGAGGAUGACGGCCUUCGGGUUGUAAACUCCUUUUGGGGGGGAUGACGCGGACCGUACCCUCCGAAGAAGCCCCGGCUAACUCUGUGCCAGCAGCCGCGGUAAGACAGAGGGGGCAAGCGUUGUCCGGAAUUACUGGGCGUAAAGCGCACGCAGGCGGCCCGGCAAGUGGUGUGUGACAGCGAACGGCUUAACCGUCCGAGGCCAUGCCAGACUGCCGAGCUUGAGCCGUGCAGAGGCCAGUGGAAUUGCCGGUGUAGGAGUGACAUCCGUAGAGACCGGCAGGAACACCGAUGGGGAAGCCAGCUGGCUGGGCACGCGCUGACGCUCAGGUGCGAUAGCGUGGGGAGCAA
rnacentral:rRNA from 1 species